rnacentral:rRNA from 1 species
CAGCAGCCACGGUAAUACAGAGGUCCCGAGCGUUGUUCGGAUUCAUUGGGCGUAAAGGGUGUGUAGGAGGCCAGGUAAGUCAGGUGUGAAAUCUCAGAGCUUAACUCUGAAACUGCGCUUGAUACUGCUUGGCUAGAGGAUCGGAGGGGGUAACGGAAUUUAUGGUGUAGCAGUGAAAUGCGUAGAUAUCAUAAGGAACACCGGUGGCGAAGGCGGUUACCUGGAAGAUUCCUGACUCUGAAACACGAAAGCCAGGGGAGCAAACGGGAUUAGAUACCCGCGUAGUCCCUGUCUCUUAUAA